rnacentral:rRNA from 1 species
UCCUGGCUCAGGAUGAACGCUGGCGGCGUGCCUAACACAUGCAAGUCGAGCGGAGUUGAUGAUUAGCUUGCUAUGAUUCAGCUUAGCGGCGGACGGGUGAGUAACGCGUGGGUAACCUGCCCUAUACAGGGGGAUAACACACCGAAAGGUGUGCUAAUACCCCAUAAUACUGAUGCUUCGCAUGGAGUGUCAGUCAAAGAUUUAUCGGUAUAGGAUGGACCCGCGUCUGAUUAGCUAGUUGGUGAGGUAAUGGCUCACCAAGGCGACGAUCAGUAGCCGACCUGAGAGGGUGAUCGGCCACACUGGAACUGAGACACGGUCCAGACUCCUACGGGAGGCAGCAGUGGGGAAUAUUGCACAAUGGGGGAAACCCUGAUGCAGCAACGCCGCGUGAGCGAUGAAGGCCUUCGGGUCGUANAGCUCUGUCCUAAGGGAAGAAUAAAUGACGGUACCUUAGGAGGAAGCCCCGGCUAACUACGUGCCAGCAGCCGCGGUAAUACGUAGGGGGGCAGCGUUAUCCGGAAUCACUGGGCGUUAAGGGUGCGUA